rnacentral:sRNA from 1 species
CGGUUCGAACCCGGGCUCAGACAUAUCUAAAAUAUCUGGAGAUGUAUGGUCUUUGGGCUUGAACUUCCAUAUAUUAAAAAAUAUAUAUAUAUAUACAUAAUAUAUCCCUUUUUCAUUGUUGUCAAAUUUUAAAAUUUUGAUAAGUAAUAUAUCAAAUCAAAAGUCUCGAUAUGGAGAGUUCAACUAUAUUUUUAGA